GAUGAACGCUGGCGGCGUGCCUAAUACAUGCAAGUCGAGCGAACGGACGAGAAGCUUGCUCCUCUGAUGUUAGCGGCGGACGGGUGAGUAACACGUGGAUAACCUACCUAUAAGACUGGGAUAACUUCGGGAAACCGUAGCUAAUACCGGAUAAUAUUUUGAACCGCAUGGUUCAAAAGUGAAAGACGGUCUUGCUGUCACUUAUAGAUGGAUCCGCGCUGCAUUAGCUAGUUGGUAAGGUAACGGCUUACCAAGGCAACGAUGCAUAGCCGACCUGAGAGGGUGAUCGGCCACACUGGAACUGAGACACGGUCCAGACUCCUACGGGAGGCAGCAGUAGGGAAUCUUCCGCAAUGGGCGAAAGCCUGACGGAGCAACGCCGCGUGAGUGAUGAAGGUCUUCGGAUCGUAAAACUCUGUUAUUAGGGAAGAACAUAUGUGUAAGUAACUGUGCACAUCUUGACGGUACCUAAUCAGAAAGCCACGGCUAACUACGU
rnacentral:rRNA from 1 species